GAUUACUUGUCGGAGUGCCAUUUGGCUGAGAUCGCAUAAUUGAAUGCGGGAUCCGCAGAACCUGAUCGGGUUGAUACCCGCGUAGGAAACAAGAAAGUCAUACUU
rnacentral:ncRNA from 2 species